rnacentral:rRNA from 1 species
AUUGAACGCUGGCGGCAGGCCUAACACAUGCAAGUCGAGCGGCAGCGGGAAAGUAGCUUGCUACUUUUGCCGGCGAGCGGCGGACGGGUGAGUAAUGCCUGGGAAAUUGCCCAGUCGAGGGGGAUAACAGUUGGAAACGACUGCUAAUACCGCAUACGCCCUACGGGGGAAAGCAGGGGACCUUCGGGCCUUGCGCGACUGGAUAUGCCCAGGUGGGAUUAGCUAGUUGGUGAGGUAAUGGCUCACCAAGGCGACGAUCCCUAGCUGGUCUGAGAGGAUGAUCAGCCACACUGGAACUGAGACACGGUCCAGACUCCUACGGGAGGCAGCAGUGGGGAAUAUUGCACAAUGGGGGAAACCCUGAUGCAGCCAUGCCGCGUGUGUGAAGAAGGCCUUCGGGUUGUAAAGCACUUUCAGCGAGGAGGAAAGGUUGUUGGCUAAUAUCCAACAGCUGUGACGUUACUCGCAGAAGAAGCACCGGCUAACUCCGUGCCAGCCGCCGCCGUAAGAC